rnacentral:rRNA from 1 species
GAUGAACGCUGGCGGCGUGCUUAACACAUGCAAGUCGAGCGAGAAGUUUUGAAAAGAUUCUUCGGAUGAAAUUUAAAAUGGAAAGCGGCGGACGGGUGAGUAACGCGUAGGCAACCUGCCCCAUACAAAGGGAUAGCAUUUGGAAACGAAUAUUAAUACCUUAUGAAACUUAACUAGUGCAUGCUAGGUAGGUCAAAGAUUUAUCGGUAUGGGAUGGGCCUGCGUCUGAUUAGCUAGUUGGUGAGGUAACGGCUCACCAAGGCGACGAUCAGUAGCCGACCUGAGAGGGUGAACGGCCACAUUGGAACUGAGACACGGUCCAAACUCCUACGGGAGGCAGCAGUGGGGAAUAUUGCACAAUGGGGGAAACCCUGAUGCAGCAACGCCGCGUGAACGAUGAAGGCCUUUGGGUCGUAAAGUUCUGUUCUAGGUGAUGAAAACUGACAGUAACCUAGGAGAAAGCCCCGGCUAACUCCGUGCCAGCAGCCGCGGUAAUACGGAGGGGGCAAGCGUUAUCCGGAAUUAUUGGGCGUAAAGGGUACGUAGGUGGCCUUUUAAGCGUAGGGUAUAAGGCAAUGGCUCAACCAUUGUUCGCCCUAUGAACUGGAAGGCUUGAGUGCGGGAGAGGAAAGCGGAAUUCCUAGUGUAGCGGUGGAAUGCAUAGAUAUUAGGAGGAACAUCAGCGGCGAAGGCGGCUUUCUGGACUGCAACUGACACUGAGGUACGAAAGCGUGGGGAGCAAACAGG